UGGGGAAUAUUGGGCAAUGGGCGAAAGCCUGACCCAGCGACGCCGCGUGAGGGAAGACGGCCUUCGGGUUGUAAACCUCUGUUGCAGGGGAAGAAGGAAGUGACGGUACCCUGCGAGGAAGCUCCGGCAAACUACGUGCCAGCAGCCGCGGUAAUACGUAGGGAGCGAGCGUUAUCCGGAAUUACUGGGCGUAAAGGGCGCGUAGGCGGAAUGACAAGUCAGCAAGUGAAAGCGUGGGGCUCAACCCCAUGAUGCGGCUGAAACUGUUAUUCUAGAGGCAUGGAGAGGCAAACGGAAUUCCCGGUGUAGCGGUGAAAUGCGUAGAUAUCGGGAAGAACACCAGUGGCGAAGGCGGUUUGCUGGCCAUGAACUGACGCUCAUAGCGCGAAAGCUAGGGUAGCAAACG
rnacentral:rRNA from 1 species